rnacentral:lncRNA from 10 species
ACUGAGGUUAAGCAAAAGCACGGAAUCAUGAAAAUUAUUCUUUGAAAUGGCAAAGAUUUCUGUGGCUGGAUCAUGGGAUUUAUUGACUGGAGCGAUUUCUCCUCAGAAGACCAGACACAUGAAGCUUCUUAUGUCUCUUCCCUGACAUUUCACAAAAUAGAGAAAAAGGAAAGGAAAAAAAUAUCCCUGAGGAAAGGCUAAGUGUAAAGAAGAAUUUGAUUUUGGCAUUGCUUUGAGAGGUUCCACUUACUUCCUCAACCCAUGGAAUGCUUAUUGUUGAACCAACACCGUAAGAAAGACACAGCUUCAGCUUCAAUAAGACUGCACUGUAUGCAAAACAGCAUAAAUACUUUUUGGAGAAAAACACUAUGAGGAGCAUUGAGAAAGUCCUCAUUUGGAAUACUUAGCUGGACUUACCUAAACUGAACUUUCCCUUCCUUGACCCAGGGCAACCUCUGCCAAGCCCACCACCCUCCAGCUCCUACGCCAUGAAAGAUCGAAGAAGAUAAUCAGAAAAACCACCCAAGAAAAGGAAAAGGGAGAAUCAGUUACAUAUCCAGCAAGCCAGAAAACAAGAAAACCCAAAUCUGUUCCAGUUCUCUAGUUUCACCUUAAAGGCAAAGAACUGUAGAUGCUUGUGAGGAGCUCUUCAAAGCCUAAAUUCAUAGCCUCUCUACGCGGGAGGUUACCAGCAUCUGAAGAAAAACAACCACUACCAGAAAAGCUCUUCUUUGUUUUCAUUCUUCGCAGUCCUUCAGGAAACUCUUGAUAAUGUGAAAUGUUAUUACUGCAAAUGUUGGCUCAAGCACGUUUACUCUAGAGUCUGACUAUCAGUGACUUGUUCGCAAAAUAAAAUCAUUUUUAAAGCCUACAAGGAAAGCCAAGAGCAAACCACAAAUCAGAAAACCACCAAGGCGGGCUGGCCUCAUUGCCAGAAUUUAAUGUGAUCUAAUGCGAGGACAACAAGAUGUGAGAAUUUGAUUUUACGAUGUUCCAUGUAACAUUUGCCAAUACGGAGGGGUUGGGCCCAACUUCCCCAUCCUUAAGCAAACAUUUGAAGUAAUGUUUCACUUUCUUAUCAGUUUGAAUUCUGUCAGCGAGAGGGUAGAGAUUCAGCCGGGCCUGCUCAUUUUAAAAGUGCCAUCUGCUUUGGAUGCUCAUAGAUUUGCUUAAUAUCCAUUUGUAUAAGAUGAAGAUGGGCAGGUGGGGAAGGGGCCAGGAAAAUAGGAUGAAGCUAUUUAGUGGCAGUGUACCAACUGGACUGCCACUCUCUUCUGCACUGGUGAUUUAUUCCAUGGGUGGGAAGGCAGGAAUAGGGCUAACUUAAGCAACAUUCUUUCACAAGCAAAAACUAACCCCAAUGAGAAAGAGUCAGAUCUGGGCUGAAUCACGUUGUCCAGUCUCACACCAAAUGGAACUGGAGCUCAGGUGGAGCUCUAUUUCCCAUCACUCAUUCUUUAGAAAAGAAAUAAAAUGGUAGCAACAGAGAAACACUUUGCAUAUGUCAAAUUAACAGCGGAGGACCCUAUGGAAUAAAGAAAGCCAGUCAGGAAAUCCCAUAGAAGGGCACAUGAGCAAUGAAAAAUACAUUAAAGUUACAUAUUUCAUGCAGUUUUUAUUUCUGUUGCCAGGACAAUGGAACAAGAAUCAGAUCUCUUUUUUUCCUUCUUACAGAAAAAUGCAACCUUACCAAUGCCAAACUCCUACUUACACUGUCAUUUUAUAGCAGUUACAAAGUUGGCCCAGUGAAGAAAUGUAAAACGCAUAGAAUCAAGUUUCUUAAAGCAAUAGUUUGCUAAGGGAAGUGUAAUAAAUACAGGGUCUAGGAAAAAAUUACUAGAACUUCUAUUUCUAUUGACUUUUAAGCUAAACACUAAGAAGGAAAGAAAGCCUCACUAAGAGUUAAAAUCUGGAUGACACCAGUUGUCCUCAUUUGGUGCAGAUACAGACAGUCACCUCUCACCCACCACCUGUGGACUGUGAGUCUUCCUGAAAGAAGGUUGAGGGCUCAACAGUGCUGAGGGUAUGAUAGGGGUAGCAUCAGUUCAGGUAGGCUGGGCUGCAGUAACACAUAGACCAAGCAGGUAAUGGCUCAACACAAUAGGAAGUUAGUUCUUGCUUAGGGUGCCAUUCUGGUGAUGAGAUCAGCAGGACAGCUCAAGCCAUGCCAUCACUUAGAUGAGGCUCUGCCAACUUCGGCUUAUGGUUAGCAUAGCCAUCUGCAUCGCUUCCUGCAGGAAGAAGGAAGAACCUUGGAGAAUCACUUCUAGGAGGCUUUUUAUGGGACCAGACUGAAAGUGGUACAUAUUAUCGAAGCUCAUCCUCCAUUGGCCAUGACUUAGUCUCAGAGCCACAACUAACCACAAGGGAAGCCAGGAAAUGUAGCCUGAUUAUGUGCUCAAGAAGAAGAAACAAAUUAUGGCAAACAGUCAGCAGUUUCUACCAUAGGUGUGCUCAUCCAUUCAGUGGAUUGCAAUGUAUUGCAAUCGACAUGUUCCCCUUACACGGAUUUAACCAUUUUAAUAAAAUUUAACCUCAUAAAAUGAACAGGUAGCUGAAAAAUAUUCCUACUACAAAGUUAAAAAUUGAAGAUAAUAUUAAUAAUAGGAACACAAGCCAACCACAAGAAAAGAGCAGAGCUAAAGCCUCAUAUUUUAAACUCUUUGUCAACAAUAAUGUGAGGUUUUUUUUAAAAAAAGACUAUUAAAUUACUUCUGGAAAGAAGUCAAACCAAAUAUUUUUAAAAAUUUUAAGUUUAUUUGAAAUACAGAUUUAUAUCCACUUUUAUAAUAAUGAACCUUAUAUACCUGAAACAUGGCUAAUAAGAAUGUGAACAUACCAAAAUUAGCAAAAAAUUUAAGUAGCCAUAAAAUAAACAUGGAGAAAAGCUUCUGUAAUUUUAUGUGCAGUUUAAAGUCGUGUUAUACUUAAUCUAUUCUGAAAAAUUUUACUAAACUUGAUGAGAGAUGUUUAGAGGUCUCCUUUGAGAUUUCUCAUUAAAUAAUAAAGUACAAAAAGCCACAU